CGUAGGGUGCAAGCGUUAAUCGGAAUUACUGGGCGUAAAGCGUGCGCAGGCGGUUAUGCAAGACAGAGGUGAAAUCCCCGGGCUCAACCUGGGAACUGCCUUUGUGACUGCAUAGCUAGAGUACGGUAGAGGGGGAUGGAAUUCCGCGUGUAGCAGUGAAAUGCGUAGACAUGCGGAGGAACACCGAUGGCGAAGGCAAUCCCCUGGACCUGUACUGACGCUCAUGCACGAAAGCGUGGGGAGCAAACAGGAUUAGAUACCCUGGUAGUCCACGCCCUAAACGAUGUCAACUGGUUGUUGGGAGGGUUUCUUCUCAGUAACGUAGCUAACGCGUGAAGUUGACCGCCUGGGGAGUACGGCCGCAAGGUUG
rnacentral:rRNA from 1 species